UCUAAGACACAAAACCGGUUUCCAAUUUGAUUUUGCACUGUGUUUUUAUGAAAGUGAGAUCAUUUUGAAAGCUGGAUUUUGCCUUUCGUCAA
rnacentral:pre_miRNA from 1 species